GUGUCCGCCGCCGCGGUAAUACGAAGGGUGCAGCGUUAAUCGGAAUUACUGGGCGUAAAGGGUGCGUAGGCGGUUCGUUAAGUCUGUCGUGAAAUCCCCGGGCUCAACCUGGGAAUGGCGAUGGAUACUGGCGAGCUAGAGUGUGUCAGAGGAUGGUGGAAUUCCCGGUGUAGCGGUGAAAUGCGUAGAGAUCGGGAGGAACAUCAGUGGCGAAGGCGGCCAUCUGGGACAACACUGACGCUGAAGCACGAAAGCGUGGGGAGCAAACAGGAUUUUAUACCCUGGUAGUCCACGCCCUAAACGAUGCGAACUGGAUGUUGGUCUCAACUCGGAGAUCAGUGUCGAAGCUAACGCGUNAAGUUCGCCGCCUGGGGAGUACGGUCGCAAGACUGAAACUCAAAGAAAUUGACGGGA
rnacentral:rRNA from 1 species